rnacentral:rRNA from 1 species
AUUGAACGCUGGCGGCAGGCUUAACACAUGCAAGUCGAGCGGGGGAAGGUAGCUUGCUACCGGACCUAGCGGCGGACGGGUGAGUAAUGCUUAGGAAUCUGCCUAUUAGUGGGGGACAACAUCUCGAAAGGGAUGCUAAUACCGCAUACGUCCUAUGGGAGAAAGCAGGGGAUCUUCGGACCUUGCGCUAAUAGAUGAGCCUAAGUCGGAUUAGCUAGUUGGUGGGGUAAAGGCCUACAAAGGCGACGAUCUGUAGCGGGUCUGAGAGGAUGAUCCGCCACACUGGGACUGAGACACGGCCCAGACUCCUACGGGAGGCAGCAGUGGGGAAUAUUGGACAAUGGGGGGAACCCUGAUCCAGCCAUGCCGCGUGUGUGAAGAAGGCCUUAUGGUUGUAAAGCACUUUAAGCGAGGAGGAGGCUACUUUAGUUAAUACCUAGAGAUAGUGGACGUUACUCGCAGAAUAAGCACCGGCUAACUCUGUGCCAGCAGCCGCCGUAA